rnacentral:misc_RNA from 1 species
AUUGCCCUAGUAACGGCGAGUGAAGCGGCAACAGCUCAAAUUUGAAAUCUGGCUCUCGGGCCCGAGUUGUAAUUUGUAGAGGAUGCUUUUGAUGCGGUGCCUUCCGAGUUCCCUGGAACGGGACGCCAUAGAGGGUGAGAGCCCCGUCUGGUUGGAUGCCAAAUCUCUGUAAAGCUCCUUCGACGAGUCGAGUAGUUUGGGAAUGCUGCUCUAAAUGGGAGGUAUAUGUCUUCUAAAGCUAAAUACCGGCCAGAGACCGAUAGCGCACAAGUAGAGUGAUCGAAAGAUGAAAAGCACUUUGAAAAGAGAGUUAAAAAGUACGUGAAAUUGUUGAAAGGGAAGCGUUUAUGACCAGACUUGGGCUUGGUUAAUCAUCUGGGGUUCUCCCCAGUGCACUUUUCCAGUCCAGGCCAGCAUCAGUUUUCGCCGGGGGAUAAAGGCUUCGGGAAUGUGGCUCUCUCCGGGGAGUGUUAUAGCCCGUUGCGUAAUACCCUGGCGGGGACUGAGGUUCGCGCAUCUGCAAGGAUGCUGGCGUAAUGGUCAUCAACGACCCGUCUUGAAACACGGACCAAGGAGUCGUCUUCGUAUGCGAGUGUUCGGGUGUCAAACCCCUACGCGUAAUGAAAGUGAACGCAGGUGAGAGCUUCGGCGCAUCAUCGACCGAUCCUGAUGUUCUCGGAUG